rnacentral:lncRNA from 1 species
AGAUCUGAUAAAUUUAAAAAGGGGAGUUUCCUUGCCCAAGCCCUCUUCUUUAGUUUGCUGCCAUGUGAGACAUGCCUUUUACCUUCUGCCAUGGUUGAGAGGACUCCCCAGCCAUGCUGAACUGAGGAAAUUUGGACAGAGGGACAUAUGCACACAGAAAGAAUUCCAUACGAACAGGAAGACAGAUGUCACAGUGAUGCAUCUACAAGCCGAAGAAUGUCAAAGAUGCCAGCACCCACCAGAAGCUAGUAGAGAUGCAAGGAACAGUUUCUCACAGACCUCAGAAGGGACCAACUUUUUUACCCCUUGACAUUUCCAGCCUCCAGAAAUGUGAAACAAUAAAUUUAUUUUCUUUAAGUCAUCCAGUUUGUUUUGCAGAUUUAUAGCAACCCAAGACAAUUAAUA